rnacentral:rRNA from 1 species
AUUGAACGCUGGCGGCAGGCCUAACACAUGCAAGUCGAACGGUAACAGGAAGCAGCUUGCUGCUUCGCUGACGAGUGGCGGACGGGUGAGUAAUGUCUGGGAAGCUGCCUGAUGGAGGGGGAUAACUACUGGAAACGGUAGCUAAUACCGCAUAAUGCCGCAAGACCAAAGAGGGGGACCUUCGGGCCUCUUGCCAUCGGAUGUGCCCAGAUGGGAUUAGCUUGUUGGUGGGGUAACGGCUCACCAAGGCGGCGAUCCCUAGCUGAUCUGAGAGGAGGACCAGCCACACUGGAACUGAGACACGGACCAGACUCCUACGGGAGGCAGCAGUGGGGAAUAUUGCACAGUGGGCGCAAGCCUGAUGCAGCCAUGCCGCGUGUAUGAAGGAGGCCUUCGGGUUGUGAAGUACUUUCAGCGGGGAGGAAGGGAGUAAAGUUAAUACCUAUGGUCAUUGACGUUACCCGCAGAAGAAGCACCGGCUAACUCCGUG